rnacentral:rRNA from 1 species
UACGUAGGGCGCAAGCGUAUCCGGAAUUAUUGGGCGUAAAGAGCUCGUAGGCGGUUUGUCGCGUCUGCCGUGAAAGUCCGGGGCUCAACUCCGGAUCUGCGGUGGGUACGGGCAGACUAGAGUGCGGGUAGGGGGAGACUGGAAUUCCUGGUGUAGCGGUGAAAAUGCGCAGAUAUCAGGAGGAACACCGGUGGCGAAGGCGGGUCUCUGGGCCGUAACUGACGCUGAGGAGCGAAAGCGUGGGGAGCAAACGG